AUACGGAGGGUGCAAGCGUUGUUCGGAAUCACUGGGCGUAAAGGGCGCGCAGGCGGUUUGGUAAGUCAGAUGUGAAAGCCCACGGCUCAACCGUGGAAGUGCAUUUGAAACUGCCAGACUUGAGUACCAGAGGGGAAAGUGGAAUUCCCGGUGUAGAGGUGAAAUUCGUAGAUAUCGGGAGGAAUACCGGUGGCGAAGGCGACUUUCUGGCUGGAUACUGACGCUGAGGCGCGAAAGCGUGGGGAGCAAACAGGAUUAGAAACCCGGGUAGUCC
rnacentral:rRNA from 1 species